rnacentral:rRNA from 1 species
CACCGCGGUUAUACGAGAGGCCCAAGUUGAUAAACACCGGCGUAAAGUGUGGUUAGGUUUAUUAUGCUAAAGUUGAACGCUUCCAGAACUGUUAUACGCACCCGGAAGCAGGAAGCCCAACUGCGAAGGUGACUUUAAAGAUCCGACCCCACGACAGCUAAGAUA